rnacentral:rRNA from 1 species
UGGUGGGUAGUUUGACUGGGGCGGUCUCCUCCUAAAGAGUAACGGAGGAGCACGAAGGUUAGCUAAUCCUGGUCGGACAUCAGGAGGUUAGUGCAAAGGCAUAAGCUAGCUUGACUGCGAGAGUGACGGCUCGAGCAGGUGCGAAAGCAGGUCUUAGUGAUCCGGUGGUUCUGAAUGGAAGGGCCAUCGCUCAACGGAUAAAAGGUACUCCGGGGAUAACAGGCUGAUACCGCCCAAGAGUUCAUAUCGACGGCGGUGUUUGGCACCUCGAUGUCGGCUCAUCACAUCCUGGGGCUGAAGUAGGUCCCAAGGGUAUGGCUGUUCGCCAUUUAAAGUGGUACGCGAGCUGGGUUUAGAACGUCGUGAGACAGUUCGGUCCCUAUCUGCCGUGGGCGCUGGAGAAUUGAGGGGGGCUGC